AUUGAACGCUGGCGGCAGGCCUAACACAUGCAAGUCGAACGAGUGGCGGACGGGUGAGUAAUGUCUGGGAAACUGCCCGAUGGAGGGGGAUAACUACUGGAAACAGUCGCUAAUACCGCAUACCCUCGGAGGUGCCCAGAUGGGAUUAGCUAGUCGGUGGGGUAAAGGGUCACCUAGGCGACGAUGCCUAGCUGGUCUGAGAGGAUGAGCAGCCACACUGGAACUGAGACACGGUCCAGACUCCUACGGUAGGCAGCAGUGGGGAAUAUUGAGCAAUGGGCGCAAGCCUGAUGCAGCCAUGCCGCGUGUAUGAAGAAGGCCUUCGGGUUGUAAAGUACUUUCAGCGAGGAGGCGUUACUCGCAGAAGAAGCAACGGCUAACUCCGUGCCAGCAGCCGCGGUAAUAC
rnacentral:rRNA from 1 species